rnacentral:rRNA from 1 species
UUAAGCGACUAAGCGUACACGGUGGAUGCCCUGGCAGUCAGAGGCGAUGAAGGACGUGCUAAUCUGCGAUAAGCGUCGGUAAGGUGAUAUGAACCGUUAUAACCGGCGAUUUCCGAAUGGGGAAACCCAGUGUGAUUCGUCACACUAUCAUUAACUGAAUCCAUAGGUUAAUGAGGCGAACCGGGGGAACUGAAACAUCUAAGUACCCCGAGGAAAAGAAAUCAACCGAGAUUCCCCCAGUAGCGGCGAGCGAACGGGGAGCAGCCCAGAGCCUGAAUCAGUGUGUGUGUUAGUGGAAGCGUCUGGAAAGGCGCGCGAUACAGGGUGACAGCCCCGUACACAAAAAUGCACAUACUGUGAGCUCGAUGAGUAGGGCGGGACACGUGGUAUCCUGUCUGAAUAUGGGGGGACCAUCCUCCAAGGCUAAAUACUCCUGACUGACCGAUAGUGAACCAGUACCGUGAGGGAAAGGCGAAAAGAACCCCGGCGAGGGGAGUGAAAAAGAACCUGAAACCGUGUACGUACAAGCAGUGGGAGCACGCUUAGGCGUGUGACUGCGUACCUUUUGUAUAAUGGGUCAGCGACUUAUAUUCUGUAGCAAGGUUAACCGAAUAGGGGAGCCGAAGGGAAACCGAGUCUUAACUGGGCGUUAAGUUGCAGGGUAUAGACCCGAAACCCGGUGAUCUAGCCAUGGGCAGGUUGAAGGUUGGGUAACACUAACUGGAGGACCGAACCGACUAAUGUUGAAAAAUUAGCGGAUGACUUGUGGCUGGGGGUGAAAGGCCAAUCAAACCGGGAGAUAGCUGGUUCUCCCCGAAAGCUAUUUAGGUAGCGCCUCGUGAAUUCAUCUCCGGGGGUAGAGCACUGUUUCGGCAAGGGGGUCAUCCCGACUUACCAACCCGAUGCAAACUGCGAAUACCGGAGAAUGUUAUCACGGGAGACACACGGCGGGUGCUAACGUCCGUCGUGAAGAGGGAAACAACCCAGACCGCCAGCUAAGGUCCCAAAGUCAUGGUUAAGUGGGAAACGAUGUGGGAAGGCCCAGACAGCCAGGAUGUUGGCUUAGAAGCAGCCAUCAUUUAAAGAAAGCGUAAUAGCUCACUGGUCGAGUCGGCCUGCGCGGAAGAUGUAACGGGGCUAAACCAUGCACCGAAGCUGCGGCAGCGACGCUGAUGCGUUGUUGGGUAGGGGAGCGUUCUGUAAGCCUGUGAAGGUGUGCUGUGAGGCAUGCUGGAGGUAUCAGAAGUGCGAAUGCUGACAUAAGUAACGAUAAAGCGGGUGAAAAGCCCGCUCGCCGGAAGACCAAGGGUUCCUGUCCAACGUUAAUCGGGGCAGGGUGAGUCGACCCCUAAGGCGAGGCCGAAAGGCGUAGUCGAUGGGAAACAGGUUAAUAUUCCUGUACUUGGUGUUACUGCGAAGGGGGGACGGAGAAGGCUAUGUUGGCCGGGCGACGGUUGUCCCGGUUUAAGCGUGUAGGCUGGUUUUCCAGGCAAAUCCGGAAAAUCAAGGCUGAGGCGUGAUGACGAGGCACUACGGUGCUGAAGCAACAAAUGCCCUGCUUCCAGGAAAAGCCUCUAAGCAUCAGGUAACAUCAAAUCGUACCCCAAACCGACACAGGUGGUCAGGUAGAGAAUACCAAGGCGCUUGAGAGAACUCGGGUGAAGGAACUAGGCAAAAUGGUGCCGUAACUUCGGGAGAAGGCACGCUGAUAUGUAGGUGAAGUCCCUCGCGGAUGGAGCUGAAAUCAGUCGAAGAUACCAGCUGGCUGCAACUGUUUAUUAAAAACACAGCACUGUGCAAACACGAAAGUGGACGUAUACGGUGUGACGCCUGCCCGGUGCCGGAAGGUUAAUUGAUGGGGUCAGCGCAAGCGAAGCUCUUGAUCGAAGCCCCGGUAAACGGCGGCCGUAACUAUAACGGUCCUAAGGUAGCGAAAUUCCUUGUCGGGUAAGUUCCGACCUGCACGAAUGGCGUAAUGAUGGCCAGGCUGUCUCCACCCGAGACUCAGUGAAAUUGAACUCGCUGUGAAGAUGCAGUGUACCCGCGGCAAGACGGAAAGACCCCGUGAACCUUUACUAUAGCUUGACACUGAACAUUGAGCCUUGAUGUGUAGGAUAGGUGGGAGGCUUUGAAGUGUGGACGCCAGUCUGCAUGGAGCCG